rnacentral:lncRNA from 1 species
UUUUUUUUUUUUUUUUUUUUUUUUGUCAUCAAAGACGCUAGUGAAUAAAGGCUGACAAACCCAAGUGAGCACCUUGAGGAUAUAUGUUCUGGCGACUGACCCAAACCAAAGUCAUUUGCAGCCUUGGGUGUUGACAUCCAAGCCCAAGGAGGUUCAACGCUGUCAUAAUUAAAUUAGCAAUGUGAUUUCUGAUGUAGCUCAGAUCACUUAAUUAUUGAACUUUUAGUCAGAUCUUACUUCUGUUUUCAAAUGAAAGAAUAUAAAAUUAACCUUCUAGACCCUGUGAACUGGGCUACCAGAUGCACUUCCACAUAGUAAAAUCAUGUAUUGAAUUCAACAAGAAUGUGUGUGUGUGUACAUAUAAGGGAAGGGAAUAUUAUCACAUUGAAAUCAUAACAGUCUGAGAAGUUGGAAGAACACACAGGUUUUGUUUUUUUUCCCCCAAUAGUCUUUGUACUGCCUCUUGCAAUAAAUAAUCUUGCUGUGUCUCAAGGCAGCUGCCUAAUAUUGUUAUGUUGCUACAGAGCCCUGCAUAAAAAAAAUUGCUCAUUCUUCUCACUUUUUACUUUCAGCUGUUAAAUUGUAUCUUAAAUGAAAGGGAAAAUGACAAUUGCUAAGAAAUGACAUAGUCCUUUGACUUGUUUGUUUUCUUAGCCUAAUGCCAUCUUGUAGUUUGGCGACUGGUAGUAGUGAUAGAGAUUGGAGGGCACAGAGAGGGGAAAAGACAAGCAUUUCCAUUCCUAUUGGAUUUUAAACACCAUCAAGUGGGUAGUUAUUAAUACCUGGAGAAAACUUAAUGACUCUGAGUAUAGCGAGAGGGAAAAGGGAUAUAAGGAAUCAACAAGAGGGAGAAGUUGGUUUUGUGGUUUUAACAUUAGAUCACUGAAGUUCUCAACUUGUUUACAUCCAUUAGACUUUUGGGAGUCUUUCUUAUGAAAUUUUGAAGGUAUGAAAGGAAUAUUGCUACUCUUACACAGAAUUGAUACCUGUGAUUCAAGUAAUCAGGACAGAAUUCCUUCUUAUUUACAUCUAUUUCCAUUUGCUUGGUUUGUCAUUGUGAUUUCUGCUAGCUACAUGAAUCGAGUAGGUUAGAAACAGGAUGCACUUUUGUGUGAGAAAUGAGAGUAAGGGUGAAGAGUGGAAGGAGAUGCUUCCAUGGUGGACAGUCUCUGGGAAAAUUUUCUAUUUUCAGAGACAUCUUUGUUUUGUGUUUUCUCCUCACGUUCAUAGCUGUACACACUAGAAAUUUGUCAACAAGAGCUUGACUACAUCUUCUCUGGAGAUUUGGGGUUUCCUUGGAAUAUCAGUGGUGUCAGGGGAAUUGGUAGGGCUGACAGAAAUUCCAGGGUAAGUUUCUAUCAACAGACAAAUUAGGUGGGUAUACCAACAAAUGUGGUUUAAAAUAUUGUCACAGAAAAUGUCCCUGCUUAAAAGAGAUGAUGGUGAGUUAGUGAGUGACUUCUUUUGCCCACAUGCCAGGAGCUGUCAGACAGUCCUAGUGGACAGGGAGCAUGUUUAGCCCUCUGCGGUUUGCAGUAAAUUGCUGUGUGAUGUCACUGCUCAGCAAACAAGAAUGUUACCUGUGAAUGAGUCAAGAAUCGACACAUCACUCAGCUCAGCCAAGUAAAACCUGUGAUCUCUAGAGAUUCAUACAUCCCAGACACAAUUUCUUUCCCUGCUGUAAAUCAGUCACUAUGUGAAACUGUGUUAACUCUUCCAAGCUCCUAGAGUAAUGUGGAAGUGUUAAGAGGGUAUCAUUACAGCUUAAAAGAAUGCCUAUCUUGUAGGGAAUAAAUAUUUUUAAGGGAGGAUUUGAUUAUUCUUUUGCAAAAUAGAGAGUCAAGACUCCUCUGCUGUCCUUGACCUAUUCUUUAUACCUUAUUUUUUACUCGCUCUUCUAUUGAUCCAACAUUUAUUGAGAGCCUAUCUUGUCAAGCCACUGUGCUAGUCACAAGCUAUAUAAAGAUGAAUGUGACAUAGAUGAAACUCACCAUUUACCCUUCCUGAAUGCACAAGCACACACCUGCUUCUGUAUCAAGAGUGCUUACUCUCUAAUAUGUGGAUGGCUAAUUCCUGAAGCAACCUGCAACAUUGUGUGUGCGUUCGUGUGUGUAUACAGAGAAGACAUAACUUUCAUCACAUUUUUCAAAUGGGUGCAGGGAAUAAGUUUUUAAUAAUUAAAAUUACCGCUCCUGGUAAUUUGAGUAGAUAUGGGGAUGCAUUUGAUUAAAUUGGCAGAUUUUAGAGAUCAGAUUGCACCUACAAGCCAAAAGUUGACAAACUUUAGAACCAAAGUGUUACGCCAAAUGGUCAUGCCACAGUCUCUAACUUGUACAGGGCAGAGAAUCUUGUUUGCACAUUUCAUCAGGCAUCUGGGACUUUGUAUAAGAAGUGAUUGCUCAACACAUUGCACUUACAAAUACUGCAAAACAAAAGAAUUUGAUUCACUACUGGGCAUUGAUGUACUUUUUACAAAUCUAGCUAUUUUCAUUGUAUAACUUUACUUUGAUUUUUUAGAAACUAGGAUGUUCUCUGGAAUAUGGGAAAGUAGCUACAUUUUAUCACUUUAGGCAUAUUAUUUUUUUAAUCUAUUUGAACUACUUAAAAUGCCGUGCAUUAAUAAUGUAAUUUGGAAGAACAAUUAGCAAAUUCCUAAAUUGAGUACUUUGCUUUUACAAAGAAUGACAGUUGUUGACUUAGUAAAAGAGCUCACAACUUACAAUAUACUUUAAAUUUCAUUUUAGCACUUUAUAGGCAUUAUCAUAAAUUUCAAAACAACCCUGAUAAGCACUAUCUCUAUAUUAAAGGCAUGAAACUUGAUCCUUAAUUACGUAAUUAGCUAUGUGGGAAUAUCAGGUAAGCAAAGCAGAUGUGUAAAAAGUCCUCUUGUUAGUAAAAUCUAACAUUUGAUGAACAUUUUGUCUAAUACAUUAAAUAUACGUGGCUUUAGCAUGCACAAAUCAUGAGUUUUCAAUAUUUGUGUUUUCAAUCUCUGAUUAAUAAAGUUGUCAUCAGUGUUCCUUUCUGAGGACAUUUACCUCUUCAUCCUGUGUUCUGUUAGAUCAAACUGUUACUAGAGGAGUUCCCAGUAUGGGUCAGUGGCUUAAGGACCUAACAUAAUUUCUAUGAGGAAGUGAGUUCAGUCCCAGUCCUUGCUCAAUAGGUUAAAGAUCUGGCAUGGCCAUAAGCUGUGGCAAAGUUCACAGAUGCAGCUCAGAUCUGGUGUUGCCAUGGCUGUGAUGUAGGCUUGCAACUGUAGCUCCAGUUUGGCUCCCCUAGAUCAGGAAUUUUCAUGUGCCAUAGGUGUGGCUGUUAAAAAAAAAAAAAAAGGAAUGUUACUGGUUUCAACAGUUAUGUAACACAGUUUUAUAGAAUAGAUGGAAGUGUUAAUUAUAGUUUAUAGGAAAUAAGCUGUUAACAACUGACAGUCUUUUGCCAAGUAAAGCCUACAAUAGGUGCUUUACAUGCACAAAUGUGAACUUUUAAGAACAAGUCUUUGUGGUAGAAAAUAUUUCAGAUGAAGAAGUUGGCAUUCAGAAAGUUGUAUAACUUGUCUAAAAUUAGUCCAUGAGGCAUCCACCUGGGAUUCCAAUUUAAGUCUUCGUGAUUUGAAAACUCAUCACGUUACCUAUGACACUCUUCUAGGAGCAAAUUUGGGGGAAAUACUGUAAAGUUAAUUGCUGUGAUUCUCAAUUUAGUUAUUUACCCACUGGAUCACGUGUUCUCUUGGAGACCAAUAAUAGAAAGGCAGUGCCAGCUGAAACUGAUAGAAACUGACAAAAACAUUGCCUAUUGCUGAUUUGUUUUCCCAUUUGUUCCCAGAAAGUCGAUUUAAUGGCUGCACAAGCAGUAUCCAAAUGCGAAGCACUGUGUAGGGUCACUCAAAAUGAAUAGCUCUAUUAGUUCUGACUGGAGAUAAGCAGAAUAAAGUUGCCAAGUGUCCCUGCUCCUGUUCUUUGCUUCUCAAAGUCAUCCACCCAAAGUUAUCAAAGCCUCAGUGAAUUUCACCACUACAUCUAAGAGGAUUGCUCUUUGCAGGAGGUGAUGAUGCUAAAGGAUCUCUCGAAUGACCUUCAAUAAUUUUCUGAGGUUUGACUGAGUCAGUAAUUCCACAUUUAAAUCUCUGUGUGUCCUUUAGAUGAUUUAGUGAUUGCAUGUGUGUGUGUGUCUAGGUAGUAUUAACAAACAUAGACACAUGCUGUGUAACAAGAGCUAACAUAUCCAGAAUGCCUCUGGAUAUGUUGUAACUAUGAAUCUCAUCUUGAUAUUAAAUCUGUAAAUAUUUUAUCAUCCCAAUUUUAUAAAUGAAGAAACCGAGUUUCAUCCCCUAGACCUGGGACAGUAUUUCAGUCUACUGUGCUGUCUCAGACACUAAAUGCAUUGUGUGAUGCAAACAUGGAUACAUACAUGUAAUCACAACUAUGGAUGAUGUCUGUGCCGGAACACCUGAGUUUACGUUUCAGGCUUUCAUUAGAAUCUCUUGUAGAGGGAGUUCCCAUUGUGGCUCAGUGGGUUACAAAUCUGACUAGAUCCCUAAGAAUGCGGAUUUUUGAUCCAUGGCCUCUCUCAGUGGAUUAAAGAUCUGGCAUUGCCAUGAGCU